GGAGAGGUGGCCGAGUGGUCUAUGGCGACGGUCUUGAAAACCGUUAGGCCCGCAAGGGCCUCGGGGGUUCGAAUCCCUCCCUCUCCG
rnacentral:tRNA from 1 species